rfam:Danio rerio chromosome 4, GRCz11 reference primary assembly.
GCAUUGGUGGUUCAGUGGUAGAAUUCUCGCCUCCCACACGGGAGACCUGGGUCCGAUUCCCGGCCAAUGCA